GAAUAUGACAAAUUUGGGUUAUCGGGCAUGACUAGAAAUCAUGUGGGCUCUACCCGCGCAGGUUCGAAUCCUGCCGACCA
rnacentral:tRNA from 1 species